ACUAACAGGAUUCCCCUAGUAACUGCGAGUGAAGCGGGAAAAGCUCAAAUUUAAAAUCUGGCAGUCUUUGGCUGUCCGAGUUGUAAUCUAGAGAAGUAUUAUCCGCGCUGGACCGUGUACAAGUCUCCUGGAAUGGAGCGUCAUAGAGGGUGAGAAUCCCGUCUUUGACACGGACUGCCAGGGCUUUGUGAUAUGCUCUCAAAGAGUCGAGUUGUUUGGGAAUGCAGCUCAAAAUGGGUGGUAAAUUCCAUCUAAAGCUAAAUAUUGGCGAGAGACCGAUAGCGAACAAGUACCGUGAGGGAAAGAUGAAAAGAACUUUGGAAAGAGAGUUAAACAGUACGUGAAAUUGCUGAAAGGGAAACGCUUGAAGUCAGUCGCGUUGGCCAGGGAUCAACCUUGCUUUUUUGCUUGGCUUACUUUCUGGUCAAUGGGUCAGCAUCAAUUUUGACUGGUGGAAAAAGUUCAAGGGAAUGUGGCAUCUUCGGAUGUGUUAUAGCCUUUGUUCAUAUGCAUUGGUUGGGAUUGAGGAACUCAGCACGCCGAAAGGCCGGGUUUUUAACCACGUACGUGCUUAGGAUGCUGGCAUAAUGGCUUUAAUCGACCCGUCUUGAAACACGGACCAAGGAGUCUAACAUGCCUGCGAGUGUUUGGGUGAAAAACCCGAGCGCGUAAUGAAAGUGAAAGUUGAGAUCCCUGUCGUGGGGAGCAUUGACGCCCGGAUCUGACCUUUUGUGACGAUUCUGCGGUAGAGCAUGUAUGUUGGGACCCGAAAGAUGGUGAACUAUGCCUGAAUAGGGUGAAGCCAGAGGAAACUCUGGUGGAGGCUCGUAGCGAUUCUGACGUGCAAUCGAUCGUCAAAUUUGGGUAUAGGGGCGAAAGACUAAUCGA
rnacentral:rRNA from 1 species